rnacentral:rRNA from 1 species
UAGGGAAUCUUCGGCAAUGGACGAAAGUCUGACCGAGCAACGCCGCGUGAGUGAAGAAGGUUUUCGGAUCGUAAAACUCUGUUGUUAGAGAAGAACAAGGACGUUAGUAACUGAACGUCCCCUGACGGUAUCUAACCAGAAAGCCACGGCUAACUACGUGCCAGCAGCCGCGGUAAUACGUAGGUGGCAAGCGUUGUCCGGAUUUAUUGGGCGUAAAGCGAGCGCAGGCGGUUUCUUAAGUCUGAUGUGAAAGCCCCCGGCUCAACCGGGGAGGGUCAUUGGAAACUGGGAGACUUGAGUGCAGAAGAGGAGAGUGGAAUUCCAUGUGUAGCGGUGAAAUGCGUAGAUAUAUGGAGGAACACCAGUGGCGAGGGCGGGUCUCUGGUCUGUAACUGACGCUGAGGCUCGAAAGCGUGGGGAGCAAACAGG